rnacentral:rRNA from 1 species
AGAGUUUGAUCCUGGCUCAGGAUGAACGCUGGCGGCAUGCCUAAUACAUGCAAGUCGAACGAGAGGAAGGAAAGCUUGCUUUCCUGAAUCUAGUGGCGAACGGGUGAGUAACACGUAGGUAACCUGCCCAUGUGCCCGGGAUAACUUCUGGAAACGGAUGCUAAAACCGGAUAGGUAGCAGACAAGCAUUUGACUGCUAUUAAAGUGGCCUUGGCCAUGAACAUGGAUGGACCUGCGGUGCAUUAGCUGGUUGGUGAGGUAACGGCCCACCAAGGCGACGAUGCAUAGCCGGCCUGAGAGGGCGGACGGCCACAUUGGGACUGAGACACGGCCCAAACUCCUACGGGAGGCAGCAGUAGGGAAUUUUCGUCAAUGGGGGGAACCCUGAACGAGCAAUGCCGCGUGAGUGAGGAAGGUCUUCGGAUCGUAAAGCUCUGUUGUAAGAGAAAAACGGCACUCAUAGGGAAUGAUGAGUGAGUGAUGGUAUCUUACCAGAAAGUCACGGCUAACUACGUGCCAGCAGCCGCGGUAAUACGUAGGUGGCGAGCGUUAUCCGGAAUGAUUGGGCGUAAAGGGUGCGUAGGUGGCAGAUCAAGUCUGGAGUAAAAGGUAUGGGCUCAACCCGUACUGGCUCUGGAAACUGAUCAGCUAGAGAACAGAAGAGGACGGCGGAACUCCAUGUGUAGCGGUAAAAUGCGUAGAUAUAUGGAAGAACACCGGUGGCGAAGGCGGCCGUCUGGUCUGGAUUCUGACACUGAAGCACGAAAGCGUGGGGAGCAAAUAGGAUUAGAUACCCUAGUAGUCCACGCCGUAAACGAUGAG